rnacentral:sRNA from 3 species
UAUUCAUCCCAUGCGGGAAGGAUGAGAAGCUUCGACUAAGGUUCGAUUCGAGCGAAGCGAGAAAGCGUUGCCGCAGGCAACGACCCGAAGGGCGAGGCGCAACGCGCCGAGUAAUCCUUCCCCCACCCUCA